rnacentral:rRNA from 1 species
ACGAACGCUGGCGGCGUGCCUAAUACAUGCAAGUCGAACGCUUCUUUUUCCACCGGAGCUUGCUCCACCGGAAAAAGAGGAGUGGCGAACGGGUGAGUAACACGUGGGUAACCUGCCCAUCAGAAGGGGAUAACACUUGGAAACAGGUGCUAAUACCGUAUAACAAUCGAAACCGCAUGGUUUUGAUUUGAAAGGCGCUUUCGGGUGUCGCUGAUGGAUGGACCCGCGGUGCAUUAGCUAGUUGGUGAGGUAACGGCUCACCAAGGCGACGAUGCAUAGCCGACCUGAGAGGGUGAUCGGCCACAUUGGGACUGAGACACGGCCCAAACUCCUACGGGAGGCAGCAGUAGGGAAUCUUCGGCAAUGGACGAAAGUCUGACCGAGCAACGCCGCGUGAGUGAAGAAGGUUUUCGGAUCGUAAAACUCUGUUGUUAGAGAAGAACAAGGAUGAGAGUAACUGUUCAUCCCUUGACGGUAUCUAACCAGAAAGCCACGGCUAACUACGUGCCAGCAGCCGCGGUAAUACGUAGGUGGCAAGCGUUGUCCGGAUUUAUUGGGCGUAAAGCGAGCGCAGGCGGUUUCUUAAGUCUGAUGUGAAAGCCCCCGGCUCAACCGGGGAGGGUCAUUGGAAACUGGGAGACUUGAGUGCAGAAGAGGAGAGUGGAAUUCCAUGUGUAGCGGUGAAAUGCGUAGAUAUAUGGAGGAACACCAGUGGCGAAGGCGGCUCUCUGGUCUGUAACUGACGCUGAGGCUCGAAAGCGUGGGGAGCAAACAGGAUUAGAUACCCUGGUAGUCCACGCCGUAAACGAUGAGUGCUAAGUGUUGGAGGGUUUCCGCCCUUCAGUGCUGCAGCUAACGCAUUAAGCAGUCCGCCUGGGGAGUACGACCGCAAGGUUGAAACUCAAAGGAAUUGACGGGGGCCCGCACAAGCGGUGGAGCAUGUGGUUUAAUUCGAAGCAACGCGAAGAACCUUACCAGGUCUUGACAUCCUUUGACCACUCUAGAGAUAGAGCUUCCCCUUCGGGGGCAAAGUGACAGGUGGUGCAUGGUUGUCGUCAGCUCGUGUCGUGAGAUGUUGGGUUAAGUCCCGCAACGAGCGCAACCCUUAUUGUUAGUUGCCAUCAUUUAGUUGGGCACUCUAGCAAGACUGCCGGUGACAAACCGGAGGAAGGUGGGGAUGACGUCAAAUCAUCAUGCCCCUUAUGACCUGGGCUACACACGUGCUACAAUGGGAAGUACAACGAGUCGCAAAGUCGCGAGGCUAAGCUAAUCUCUUAAAGCUUCUCUCAGUUCGGAUUGUAGGCUGCAACUCGCCUACAUGAAGCCGGAAUCGCUAGUAAUCGCGGAUCAGCACGCCGCGGUGAAUACGUUCCCGGGCCUUGUACACACCGCCCGUCACACCACGAGAGUUUGUAACACCCGAAGUCGGUGAGGUAACCUUUUGGAGCCAGCCGCCUAAGGUGGGAUAGAUGAUUGGGGUG